AGGCCCGUUUACACUAGUGUGUUUUAGUUUUAAAACAGCGUUUUAGAUUAAAAGCGAUCCGCGUCCACACUAGCGUUUCACCUAGCGUUUCUGAACAUAUCUCCGUCCACACUACGCCACCAAAAACGUAUAUCACGUGACCAUUCGCGCACUCUGGGCAUGUGCGUUCUAGUAUAAACAGGAAGCAUGUGUCUCGCUCGACAUUUGGUUAUUGUUAGUCAACAAGCGCCGGUUGAACAAUGAACGCGAUGGCAAAGAAAGCAAGAGAGGUAUUUUUGUGGACAGACGACGAGGUUUGAGUUGUGAAUAACUGCACAAUGGUGCCUAAAACAGACAAUAGUGCAAACAACGCUCCCAUUUCUGUGUUCGUGUUGUUGUUUACAGUGAAGGCUGGUCUGCUGUCUCCCGGUAGCGUUAAAGCCAUGUGUUAUAGUCAUGUGAUAGGGGCUUGACGAAUAAGGUAAUGGAUACGCAAUGACACGAAAGCCCCAAUCAGGUAGCGAAUCUCAGCAGCCCCGCCUCC
ensembl:processed_transcript